UACGUAGGGGGCAAGCGUUGUUCGGAAUUAUUGGGCGUAAAGGGCGCGUAGGCGGCCUGCUAAGUCGAACGUGAAAUCCCUGGGCUCAACCCAGGAACUGCGUCCGAUACUGGUUGGCUUGAAUCCGGGAGAGGGAUGUGGAAUUCCAGGUGUAGCGGUGAAAUGCGUAGAUAUCUGGAGGAACACCGGUGGCGAAGGCGACAUCCUGGACCGGUAUUGACGCUGAGGCGCGAAAGCCAGGGGAGCAAACGGG
rnacentral:rRNA from 1 species